UUCCAUUACCAAAAAACACCCCCGUUCACAAAAAAGAGACCUGAACCAAUCGUAAUCUCUUUCUCAAUCUCAUCUCUCUCUCUCUCUCUCUCUCGAACUCUCUCGAACUCCCAGGUCUCUCUGCAUCUCCCCAUGAUGACCAGAUCCAUAUCUCUCAAAUUGGAGCAAGAAAUUUAGGCAUGGAUCCCUCUCUCAAUCACGUCUAUCUCUUUCUAUCAAACUCUCAGGUCUCUUCUCUCCUCACCUCAAAUUGCAGCAAGGACUCUUUUAUCCUCACCUCAAAUUGCAUCAAGGACUCUUCUAUCCUCACCUCAAAUUGCAGCAAGGACGUUAGGGCGUGGAUCUCCUGCGCUCAACGAGAUUGGAUUCAAAAAAAAUCUAAGGAUUCAAUUUUAAAUCUAAUCUUCUCACGUAUGCUCUUUGGAUACAUCAUGAAGAUCGGUUUGGGGCAGAAGUAAGCCCAUAAGGCUAGCUUAUAAAUUAAGCAUGCAACCUAACAUAGACCAUCUCAAAUCAAGGAGGCUCUAUUCGUUGUCAGCAUCGUCAUUGCUCAGAUUCUCCUAUUAGGUCAAAUUCUUUUGUUUUCAAUUGAAACAAUGGCAUAUGAUAUGCUCGAUGCGAUUAACAAUGGGAAGGAUUCCUGGAAAGCGAAGGUCGGAGUAAUUAGGCUAUGGGACGCCAUUAACCUCAAUAACAAUGAACUAAUUAGCCUUGACAUGAUACUGCUUGAUGAACAGGGCACUAUGAUACAUGCCAAGGUAAUAAAACAUAUUGAUGCGGAGCAUCCUUCCAUCAUCCCCAUGGACUCUACAGCAACACAUCCAACCCCUCAAGGACCCAUGACUCGAGCACGUGCAAGAGCUCUUGAAACCGAGGUGACAUCACUCCUCUCACAAUUCCCUUUCGAUUCACAUGAGACAUGGUUACUACCUCAAACGGAAACGCUAUGCAUACUCAGGUACCAAGGAGUUCACCGUGAAGAAGCUAGGAAGCAAGGAGAACCGGAAGCGGAAGACAUGCAUGAAGAUGGAGAGGAAAAAGCACCAAGGACCAGGGUGGCCGGACGAUCCGGACGGCGGCCCGGACGAUCCGGACAGAGCCCGGACGAUCCGGACCCCGGCCCGGACGAUCCGGCUAAAUCGACCGAAGACUACAGAAGCCUCCCCCCUGAAGCCGGAUCAUCCGGACCCCGUCCCGGAUCAUCCAGACCCUGCUCGGAUGUCCGGACCGCCAGUCGGACAUCCGGCCCUGCGCCUCCACCAGCCGAGUCUUCGGAUCAUCCGGGCCUCCACCCGGAUCAUCCAGACCAGCCCGGAUCAUCCGGCUCCGGACCCGGAUCAUCCGGCCAGCGCCUGUGUGCGUGUGUUGGGCUGAGCCCAUGUACCCCUUUGCCCCUAGCCUAUAAAUAGGACUCCUCCUCCUCCUUUUGAGACUUAGCAUUGGAU